rnacentral:rRNA from 1 species
CGUUCCCGGGCCUUGUACACACCGCCCGUCACAUCACGAAAGUGGAUUGUACUAGAAGUCCUAAUCUAACAGGCCUAAGGUAUGAUUCAUGAUUGGGGUG